CAGCUCGAGCCAGAACAAACACGGACCAGA
rnacentral:piRNA from 1 species